rnacentral:lncRNA from 1 species
AUAGUUUUCUUCAGUUAUUAUAGAAGAUAAGCUACCCUUCUUUUUAUUUAGACAGAAAAGAGGAGAUGAUGGGGGAAUUGAAGACAGAUAGUUAUGGUUAUAGUUUUCUUCAGUUAUUAUAAAAAAUAAGUUACCCUUCUUUUUAUUUAGACAGAAAAGAGGAGAUGAUGGGGGAAAUACUUCUGUGUAUGUUUAUAAAUAAAGUACUUGCUUGGCCAAUGAGACAGCAGGUUAGGCUGGACUAGGAGUCAAAGAGGAUUCUGGGAAAUGUAGUAGAGAAGUGGUGUUCCAGACAGGAAGUGACAUAGCAAGGAGACUCAUAUUUAAGAAGAGGAAAAAGGAAGUGUUGCUCUCUUUCCCCUCGGCUCCUGCUCCAGCGGCAAGAUGUGAUCCACCAGCUAGGAGGGACGCCAAUAAGGCGUCCGAUAAGUGCUGGGUAGCUAGGAGUUUCCUGAUCCACACUCCUCCAAUCAAGGUUGAACCUGGAGCUUCUCAGCUGCUUCUGAU